rnacentral:lncRNA from 1 species
UGUGAUGAGGUAGAGCAGUCUCUGGUGAUGAGGUAGAGCAGGUUCUGGGGUGAUGAGGUAGAGCAGGUCUCUGGGUGAUGAGGUAGAGCAGGUCUCUGGGUGAGAGGUAGAGCAGGUCUCUGGGUGAGAGGUAGAGCAGGUCUCUGGGUGAUGAGGUAGAGCAGGUCUCUGGGUGAGAGGUAGAGCAGGUCUCUGGGUGAGGGGGUAGAGCAG